CCUGCUCCUUGGGGCACUGGCCGCCUUCGUAGGAGGGUGUGGGGAGCCCCUGGUGUUGUGUUUUCUUGGGAAGGCAGCUGGUUCAGAAGUCUGAGAAGCUGUGAAAAUACUCGUACAUACAGUUCCCUCUGUGCCCGUGGCCUCUGGAUGAGCCUCAGGCUGGGAACCAGAGCAAUGAGGUCUCCUCACCCUAGGCGACCCCAGACAGCUCCAUCUCUUCCUGCAUUUGUCAGAUCUGGCUCGUGUCUCCCUUUUGGGCUUUGUCCAAAAGACAAGUUAACUCUCCAAAGAUGAGGAGAGAGGACCUGGCACCACUGAGGAGGAGCUAAUCUCAACCAGCUCCAGGCUGGGCUGUCUGGAGCACCCAUGGCCACAAUUGUAAGAAAAGCUCGGAUUGCUGGCAUUCUCCAAGAA